rnacentral:tRNA from 1 species
GCGCUCCUGGCUCAAUUGGUAGAGCAGCGGAUUUAUCAUCCGUGCCGCGAGGCAUCCCUUGACAAGGGGUUGGUUGUGGGUUCGAGUCCUACGGGGCACA